UGUAUCCUUCGGGGCAGGGUGAAAAUCCCGACCGACGGUAAUAAAGCAAAUGCUUUACAGCCCGUGACCCGUUAAUUUUAUUAACGGUUGAUUCAGUGAAAAGCUGAAGCCGACAGUGAAAGUCUGGAUGGGAGAAGGAUAAA
rnacentral:ncRNA from 2 species